UACGUAGGGGGCGAGCGUUGUCCGAAGUUACUGGGCGUAAAGCGCGCGUAGGCGGUCUUUUAAGUCGGGGGUGAAAUCCUGGAGCUCAACUCCAGAACUGCCUUCGAUACUGGAGAGCUCGAGUCCGGGAGAGGUGAGUGGAACUGCGAGUGUAGAGGUGAAAUUCGUAGAUAUUCGCAAGAACACCAGUGGCGAAGGCGGCUCACUGGCCCGGUACUGACGCUGAGGUGCGAAAGCGUGGGGGGCAAACAGG
rnacentral:rRNA from 1 species